rnacentral:misc_RNA from 1 species
UUUGGGAAAAGAGGAUGUCCAUUUGAAUUGGAAGAGAUUGGAAGAAGUAUUGCAGAAAAAUGCCAAGGACUACCUCUAGCAAUUGUUGUGGUUGCAGGGCAUCUCUCGAAAAUGAGCAAGACUACUGAUUGCUGGAACAAUGUUGCAGAAAGUGUGGAUUCCGUUGUGAAUCGUGAGCCAGGGCAGUGUUUAGACAUACUUGCUCUAAGUUACAGCCACUUGCCUCAACAUCUAAAAGCUUGCUUCUUGUACAUGGGAG